rnacentral:lncRNA from 1 species
CGAACGAGGGCGUGUCACAACUCAUUCGGUCCCGCUGCCUAGAUGGGCGAGCCAACCAGAAGCGUGCUGCUGCCCUUUUCACUGCCACUAUGCGGCAGGUUCCAGGUUCUUGUUCUGUGACCAGAAGAAUGAGGUACGUGGACACUGUUUUUUCCAAGCAUCAGUGACAGUGCUGGACUACACAGUGGAGGAAUCUCGAAAACAUUUUGCGACAAGUUGCGAUGUUCCCCAAGCUGAUCUCAAAUACCUGGCCUCAAGUUAUCCCCCCACCUCAGCCUCCCAGGUUGGGAUUGCAGGUACACACCAGCACGUCUUUGUGAACCUAUUGGAAGAAUCAUAUGCCUGCCCUUGACCUGAAGCUGCACAGCCACAGCAGCUAGGCGCUCAUAGGCAGAAGGGACUUUCAUUGUCCCAGACAAGACUUUGGAGGUAAACUUUUGAGUUACUGCUGAAGUGAAUUAAGACUUGGGGGACUGUUGAGAAGGGAUAAUUGUAUUUUGCAAUGUGAGAAGGACAUGAGAUUGUGGAUGGGUCAGGGGUGGAAUCAUAUGGUUUAGAUUUGUGUCCCUGCCAAAAUCUCACGUAGAACUGUAAUCCCCAAUAUUGAGGGAGGGGUAUGGUCAAGGAGAUUGGGUCAUGGGGCUGGGCUUCCCCCUUGCUGUUCCUGUGCUAGUGAGUUCUCAUGAGAUCUCAUUGCUUAAAAGUGUGUAGGACCUCACUGUUCACUCUGUUUCUUCUGCUUCUACCAUGUAAGACAUGCCUGCUUCCCCUUUGUCUUCUGCCAUGAUUGUGAGUUUCCUGUCAACUGAAAAAGUGUUUGAUGACAACUUGCUGCAUAGAGACAGAGAAGACACACGGGCAUAUGCUUUGGACUGCAAAAUCCCUAAAGUGUCCUUCCAAAUGUUAAAUGGGGAUUCUAUAAAAGAAGCAACACUGUUGAUUAUUUAAUUAUAGUAUUGAAAGAAGUGCUAUAGUGAGUCAACUGGGCUCACAAUACAAGACACUUGAAGACUAGAG